UAAGUCAAAUAUCUUCUUUAAGAGUAAGGGCAUUCUUCCAUUGUAGGUAUUUCUAAUUGACUUUAUAAUAAUUUGAACAAAUCUUGAACAAGAUUUAAAGAAUUUAUAAUCUCCCAAACUUAAAAUUGUAUUCUUUCUGGUUUUUUAUUUUUAUGUAUUAAGAUUAUAUUCAAACCACUUAAUUAUCUUCAUGACAUAAGUUUGUGUUAAUAGAAAAUUAUACAGAAAAAAACAUGAUUUGUUCCUCUGUGGAAAGAUAUGCUUCAAUGAGUUAAAUACCCUUGAAUUUUGGUUCUCAUUUCUUAUUUGGACUUUUCUGUUAUGUACCUCAGGGGUCUUAAAUUCUAACAGAUGAAGUAGUCAAAGGGGUAUAAAAUACUUGAAAAAAAUUAAAACUUCAAAAGGGACGAAUUUCUCUGUUAACUUUUGUUUAUCCUAUACUGACUUAUUUUGAAAUUGUGAAAAAACAGGCAGCUACCAUAUAAAUUGGUAUCUAUGAAAAUACUGAUUACUUUCUUCCUGUGAUUUUCACUGUUAAGAAAACCUUUGUCUUGAAAUGAUGGACAAUCUUAAUACUUGUUCAGAUAAAGAAAUGUGACUUUCAAUACCUUUACCAUUUGUAUUUCUUUAGGGAAAUAUUUUAAUAAUGAUUGUAAAAAUAGAAGAAAUAUGGUUGAGAAAAAUAGAAGAAAUUAAGAUGAAAUUUGAACAGUUGUAAUCCACAGUCCCAUUUUUCCCUCUAUUUUAUUGCCUUCUACUAAGUUAUUGAAGGCCCAGAUCUGCAAAAUUUACAAGCUACUAAUUCAUUGUCUCCUUUAAGAAUUUGGAGCAAAAAUUAUUCCGACUAUGCGGAAAUGAAUUCACAUCAUCAUGGCAGGUUUUGACUAUGAGGGAAUUCAGGUUAGGUUCAAAUAGAAUAAUGGUCCAUGGAGAAAAAUACUUUCUGAUUUUUCUUCAAGUUGGAUGGAAAGGUUUUUCUUUAUUUAAAAAAAAAAAAAAAAAGUCCUCCUGAGAAUUUUGCCUUCGAAAAAGAAGUUUUAUAACAGCUGCCUGUAGCUACAUUAUAACUUCGGUAAUUAAGUGACAAAACUGUCUCAUUAUGCUUUUAAAAUACUGAUUAAGUGCAUUCCAGAAAUAAUACAUAUCAUUCAUUUCAAAAUCAACCUACCUGAAUUCUGACUCUUCAAUCAUGAGUAGCCAUUUUACAAAACCAAAGGGUCUCAUUUCCCAAACAGUACUUUAAAUAUCAUCCUAAUAGUAAUAUCCUAAUAGUAAUAAUCCUAUUAAUACUCACUUCAAUGCAUAAAAUAAACAGCCAAUGCACUUCCAUCAAGUCUGCAGGCACUAUAUAAUAAUAAAUAGGUUUCCAAAAUCACUUAAUAAAAACACACAGUUAUAAUGUGCUCGGCCUUCAUUAGCAUCCUCUGCAUGGGGUGGUUUUCAUUUAACCUGAAUUAUUUUAACAUUUUGGCUAAUUUGUUUGCUGCAAUUUCAUGGGUCUAAAUUUUUGGUUUGGUUUGCAAUGUAAAUCAUAUUGUAUAUCUGCUCCUUUGUUAUUAGAUUUACUUUGUGAAUAAUAUCUUUUAAAAAUUGAGUUAUCAAAAACUUAAAUUAUAAUGUCAUCAACUAAUACCAGGUAAAUAUACUAAUAUAUAUGUAGGGCAUGAUUAAAUUGCAUAUAUUUUGAAAUGUCAAACUAUUUUUUGUUUUUUUAAAAAAAUGAAUGCAUCUCUUAAACCUGUACCAUUAAUUUUAAAAAAGUUUCAUUUGGUAUUUCAUAUUAUAUUUUAAAAUAUUUUUCUUUAUCUAGUAGUACAGGUUUAAAGAAACUUUUUCUGAUUGAAAUGAUAAAAUAUGCCUCAUUUCACUAGAAUUUUAAGAAUAAUACAUGUAAAAGUAUAACUCAUAUAAGAUUAUAAAUAUCCACAAUAUCUUCUUUGAUUUUCAUGUAACACCACUUUUUACUCAUUCUUUUAUUUGUUAUUAUUCGAAAUCAUUCACAAUGUAAAUAGCAUGUUUCAUGAUGUAAAAUGUCUUUGCAUUUACAGACUGCAGAACAAGGUGAAUUUGUAUAUGAAAAAUAAGUGAUGGAAACGUGGGAUUCUUAUAAAACAAAGUGGAAAUGAUAGUUCUGUGUUAUAUUUACAUAAUUCAUUACAAAAUUGUCUAGUUAAGUCAUGCAUUUAUUUACCUUAAAAGUGUCCAAACUGUCACUUAUAAAAUAUUUAAAUCAAUAAAUAAUACCAAAAA
rnacentral:lncRNA from 1 species